rnacentral:tRNA from 1 species
GGAGAAAUGGCAGAGUGGUCGAUUGCGGCGGUCUUGAAAACCGUUGAGGUGAAAGCCUCCUGGGGUUCGAAUCCCUAUUUCUCCGCCA